UGCCAGCCGCCGCGGUAAUACAGAGGGUGCGAGCGUUAAUCGGAAUUACUGGGCGUAAAGCGUGCGUAGGCGGUUAAUUAAGUCAGAUGUGAAAGCCCUGGGCUCAACCUGGGAAUUGCAUUUGAUACUGGUUAACUUGAGUAUGGGAGAGGGAAGUGGAAUUUCCGGCGUAGAGGUGAAAUUCGUAGAUAUCAGGAGGAACACCGAUGGCGAAGGCAUCUCUCUGGGUCGAUAUUGACGCUGAGGCGCGAAGGCGUGGGUAGCGAACGGGAUUAGAUA
rnacentral:rRNA from 1 species